UGCAGGUGAGAUGAUACCGUCA
rnacentral:miRNA from 1 species